GCCCGGGUGGUGAAAUCGGUAAACACAGGGGGCUGUCAUCCCCCCGGCCUCUGUAGUCACAAGCUACACGCCUUACGGGUUCGAGGCCCGUCCCGGGCACCA
rnacentral:tRNA from 1 species